AAUGUUUAAAUGUAAUUGUUAUAAGUGAACAAAAUGAACGAAUUAUGUGAUUAAUAUUGUAUUCUACAUCAAACUAUAGUUUUGCUAGAAUGUGAUGAAGUAUCACUUAUGGAUACUUACUCUGCUACAUCUCGGAUGUCCUUUUGGAAAGUCACAGAGUCAAUCACAUAGACAAGUCCUUUUGCAGAUAAUUUAAACUGAUCAAAAUAUUUGUAGCGCAAACGUUCAUGACCAGGUAUAUCAACAAUCUUCAGGAAGCGCUGAAUAUUUAACCAAAUUUAAUGGCCUAUGCUUUUGACGUGUGUGUUUUAACAAAUUUAGAACACAGUAGGCGUGCAUAUAUCAGUGUUUUACCAGCAUCACUGAGACCAGUUAAUAGUAUACUGUUUCCCACGGAUCUUUUCUUGCGCCAUAUGGCAAACAAAACUGAAGAAAGAAAUAAAAUGACAAUUUAUAAACAGCAUAGCAAUGCCUACAUAUAAAUCAUUAGUACCAAAAAGAUUGCACUGCAGAGUUGAAUGUAUGGGUACUGGAAUUGUGGCUUGAACAAACUUUCAUACAAGAAUGCAUCUAUUUUUGUAUUACAUAUAUAAUCAUAAUAUUAUGUUUGUUUCAUUCUUAGUAACAAUUUGUAUAUUGUUUCAUAAUUACUGCAGAUAUUAUGACAUAAAUUUAUUUUAAAUAAACAACACAAUGUUUAUAGGAGUUUACAAAUGGUACUGAGACUGUGUAUGAGAUUCAUAGACAUUAAAAUGACAAACAAUAUUUUCAAAAAUCUGUAUAAGUAUAUAAGAUGUAUAAAUAUGUAAGAAUGUCUUUAAUUGUCCAAAUGAUGUCUAUAAAUCUCAAGUUGUAUAUACAAUUAAAUGUGUAAUUUAUUGGUAAUGUUAGCUAAACAUAUUUUUAGUUUUGCUAAGUACAAAAAGGAACUGUGAUGUUAUUUUGAAUAAUGUGAUAAUAAAUAAGCAGAAAAUACAA
rnacentral:misc_RNA from 1 species